GCUCCCAUAGCUCAACGGAUCGAGCACGGGCCUUCUAAGUCUGGGAUGUAGGUUCGAUUCCUACUGGGAGCA
rnacentral:tRNA from 2 species